GUGGAGGUGGAUUCAGGGGUGGAGUCUGUCCAGCUGAUCUGCAAAAUCAGAGUUCGUCUGAUAAAAAAAGACCCUAAAGUGGAGUGGACGGAGAACAACAAGAAGGUCCAUGUGUAUCAGAACGGCUCUGAACAGCCUGAAGAACAGCACCAGGAUUACAGAGACCGGACAGAGAUGAAUAAAGACCUGCUGAAAACUGGAGACCUCAGUCUGACCCUGAAAUACCCCACAGAGUGGGACACAAACACCUACACCUGCACCGUCUACAGCUGGGGGGAAAACAUCUUAAUGAAGAAACAAGUGGAGCUUAAAGUCAGAGAUCACUGCUGGUUUCUUGUUGGUGUUGGUGAAACAAUGACAUUGUUUGUCCUGGUGCAUUGUUCCAAGUCUGCAAUCCUGCUCUCCAGGUACGCUAUCUGCUUCUUCUUCCUCACAUUUUUAAUACAGAGCAACUUUAACUUAACAACGUCCAAUAUACUUUUCUAUUACAUCCCAACAGCAGAUAUUUCUGCUGUUGGGAUGUAAAAAGA
ensembl:lncRNA